UGUGUGUGUGUGUGUGUGUGUGUGUGUGUUUAAAACACAGAAAAAAGAAGCAUGGCUUUCCUCAGCUGCAGAGGCGGGCCGGGCUCUGUCCGUGCCAACUCCCUCAGAGCGGGCACCAUGGGGACACGGGAGGCACAGGAAGACUGCAGAGGUGAGGGACGGGUAUGGAGAAAGAUGGACGCUUGCCAUCUCGAGUGCCGGCGGCUGCAUGAGGCCAAACCCCAUGAACAAAACCCACAGCAGAUCGCUGGCAGCCCAUGUUAGGAGGCAGAAGACAGUUGGCAGCGCUGCUGCAGAGGACAGCCUGGGAGCAGGUGGAUGUGGGCAAGGCCAGCAUGGAGCAGAUGCCUGCACACCCACAUAUGGAGGAUCCCCGCCCCCCAGGAAAGUGUGGAUUCAUUCAGCCUCACUUUCCCCUUCUACUCCUUACUUUGGCUGGAAACGAUGGUAUAGGUGUAAAGGGCUUGAAGCAAUCGGAACUGAAGGCAACCGGAAGUCGUCAGCAAGCAGGCUCCCUCCACCCUCAAGGGGCCAGCGCCUGAGGGCAGAUCUGAAGCACGCAGAAGGGCAGGUGAUCCUGUAUCUGGUCAGAAGGGGAAUGGAAAAUCGGACCAAGACGCGCAGCAAGUGCAGGGGGAAGACUGUCACCCCAAGGCCUGACCUCACCCAUUUGAUUUCAAGUAUCUCUCAGAUAAGGAUAUAAGGAGCAUCAUCAGUUUUCAACACAGCUGGCACGGAUGGGCUGAGGGGGAGCCCAGCGGAGCUCCCAGGCCCAGGCUCGGGCACAAGGCAUUAGCCUCACUCAGCACUUGUUUCAGUACCUUGGAGAGGUCCAGAAACAGGCGUGGCAGUGGACCUCCCCCCAUCUCGGUCCUGUUAACCAGGCCCUGCCCUUUUCCACAGAGGCAGCAGGCCAGAACACCACUGUGGUACCACAAGUCUAGGUUCAGCACUGGCUUCAACACCCACAGGUCUCACGGCCCUGAACACAAUCACUUGGAACCUCUUAGCCUCUUGUAUGUGCCUGGGCCUGAGGGUGCCCCAGGCCACAUUUAAAUGCCUGCUCUAGGAGCCAGCAAGAUGGCUUCGAGGGUAGAAGAUGCUUGCCGCUAAGUCUGACAACCUGAGUCUGAUCCCUGGGAUCCACAUGUUAGAAGAGAACUGACUCAUACAAGUGGUCCUCUCACUUCCAUGUGUGCACAGUAGCAUGUACAUGCCCACAUGCACACACGCACGCACACGCACGCACACACUCACACACAGUGCAAGAAUAAAUAAGAUAUAACCCUCCAUUCCAAGUUAUGUUGGAACUACUCCUAAGUGUCUCUGGGACCCUAGACCACCUGCAGAACAUAAAUUGGUCUCACUGGGUCUGAGGCCACGUCUUGACAUCUGGCAGCACCACUUGUGCAGCGGAGGUGACAGUGCCUGCCACUACUCUCCUUAGGUGUGCAGCUGCUAUGAGCCAGACUUCUGACAGCCACAGCUUGGCCUCUCAUAUCUAUCUCCCCGAGCCCCUUGGGUCUAGACUUGUCAACAGAACCUUCUGUGCCAGUAGCAACUGUGCCAGGAGGGGCUGAUCUACAGACUGUGGCCUUUGUGGAGGAAGGUGGCGCCAGCCGCGCAAACCUUGGUGAUAAGGCCUCACUGAACAAUGUGGCUGCGUGUAUCCUGCUCCACAGAGGGAAGUCAGGGAGGGUUUCCUGGAGGAGGGAGGUAGCAAAUUGAUUAUGGAGGGUACACCAGGAUGGGUGACCCUGAGAGGACACAGGGUGAGGAACACAGGCUUGACUGGACUGGAGGAGCACGUCUAUCUUGGGCUUCCAUCUGGGUUACUAGAAGAUGCAGUUACCAUGGAGAGUGGGGGUCGGGGAGCAUCAGUGAAAGGUGCAGGCCCCAUAGCCCACAUGGCUGGAGAGACAACCAUAUGGGGGUAGUCCUCACAGCUACGGCUGCUAAAGAACACAGGAGAAGGAACAGAUGGGAAAUGAUGGACGUGUUGGACAGACAGAGUGAGGGAAGGGAUUUAGGAGAAGACUCACCAUGGAGCAGAAGGGGUGGGGACUGUGACUCGGGUCCAGCCCCAGGAUAACACACUGAGGUUUGAAAGAUAAAGCUGAGUGCAUCAUAAGUGAGUCGAUACUGUCCCAGUCAAGGAAGGUGACCCUGUGUGGAGGCCAGUGUAGAGCAAACCUUCAGAGAAUCCCCCCUCCCCACCCCCCGUGACCAGCCCAGGGUGACAGAUGGGGAGGCCAGCAACAGUCUUCACUGGAAAGGUGUAAUAAUUAAGCACCAGCAGGUCACAUGGUCACUGAAACAGAAGAAAGGAGGCAGUCCCAGCCUGGCAGGGCUGCCUGUGUGUGGUCCCUAUGAAGUAGUGAAUGGUGCCUCUGCAUGUCCACCUGCCCAGCAACCCCUGCAGGCUCACUGGAAGUCUCUAUAGCAGUGCUGAGCAGGCAGUGCUGGGCAGGAGGCUGGCUCCAUGGGAUGUCCUUCUCUGCUGUACCCACCUUGGAUGGGCACCCACCCUCUAGGACCUCUGACCAGCCAAGCUAUACAUGUUGGCCCUCCCCCCAAAGAUUUACCAAUCCCCUCACCCCACCUUUGCCACAAGGUCCUGCCUCUUACCCAGCCACCAGACCCCAGAAUGCUCUCUCCAUUCUGAUCUGCCCUUGAGUGAUAGCUGGGGGCCGAGUCAAAGACAGGCCCAGCACACAGUGAGGAACAGGUUGGUGAGGCCCCAGCUCCAGCUUUAUGUGCAUUUGAGCUAUAAUAACUGUCACACUCCAGCUCUUGUGAUGCCCAAGGACCCAUCCAGUUCCACUAGCCGUGCUGUUCCCACCAAGUGGGGGAGGGGACGCAUCUCCAGCAAUCCCAGUGGCUGAGCUGACAGGCUGAACCACUCUCGGAUCUCUUCCUUUCUAUUUUUCAUACCCAUCUUUCCCCUGAAGAGGCCUGAGAGUUGCCACUCCCCUGGAAUUUGGGAUCUGCAUAUUCAGGUGCCAGGACGUUCAGAGAGGAGGACCCUGGUCUCAACAAAGGACAGCCAUCUAUGCCAUAGACAAUCUGUGGUUUCUACAAAUGCUAUUUUGUUUUCUGACAUUUCUCAAACUUGCAUCGGAAGCAGAUGUAUACAUGUUACAAAUAAAAUUUCCAGAAGAACCAGUCUUUGUCCACAAGGGGCCUUGGCAUCUGCUGGCCUGUCUGAGCUUGGCAUUCUGAAGACCAUUCCACUGGAGUGCCCCCAGCUGUGGCUUCUUCUUCUCUAGCCACCUCUGGAGUCCGAACCUGCAGAAGCCCCACCCUUGCUUUGCCUCUCAACCUGGUUCAGGUAGCCCCAUCCUCCAUGGCUACAGCCACGCUAUGGAUGCUCAUGGAGCCAAGCACAGAGUUGAGAGCAAUGGAAUUCCCAGACACCAGCAUGCUCUGCUCUAUGCACUCAGGGGCCCUGCAGCCAGCACCACCUUGGCUUACAGCCCCAACAGGACAUGGGAACACUGAAGGGGGAUGUCUAUCAGCUUCUUCUCAGGCCAAUCCAUGGCUCCCCUCUGCAAAGUCGCUGUGUGUGGGAUCCUUGGUCUCUGCUCAUAUGUCACUUGCCUGGACCCUGGGGACCACAAACAUGCCUAUGAGCUGGGUGGCUACAGGGCCACACACGUGGCAAUCCUCAGCAGACACACGGUGGAAGGCUAAAUUGUGGCCUCCAGUAGCCUGAGUCCUCUCACCUUGGAGGGGGAAACUGGCUGCCUGCCCUGCACAGAGAAGGAUACAGACACUAGGCUCAGACCUACCAUUCCUAGACUGGCGAUACCUUCCCUGGACUCAGUUAUGACAGUAUGCAUCCAAGGGCUGUCACAGAGGAAAAGGCAGAGGCUAGGAUUCCCAGCCCUGUUCCCACUUCUGGAAAAAAGCGGGUGGCCCCAGCCCACCCCCUCUUCUGA